rnacentral:rRNA from 1 species
UACGUAGGUGGCAAGCGUUGUCCGGAUUUACUGGGCGUAAAGAGCGCGCAGGCGGUCAGAUAAGUCGAAUGUGAAAGCCCCCGGCUCAACUGGGGAGGGUCAUUCGAUACUGUUCGACUCGAAGGCAGGAGAGGGAAGUGGAAUUCCCGGUGUAGCGGUGAAAUGCGCAGAUAUCGGGAAGAACACCCGUGGCGAAGGCGGUUCUCUGGGACGGUACUGACGGCUGAGACGCGAAAGCGUGGG